rnacentral:rRNA from 1 species
UACGUAGGGGGCAAGCGUUGUCCGGAUUUAUUGGGCGUAAAGGGCGCGUAGGCGGCACAACAAGUCGGGAGUGAAAGCCCGGGGCUCAACCCCGGAAUGGCUUUCGAAACUGCUGAGCUAGAGUACAGAAGGGGCAACCGGAAUUCCCGGUGUAGUGGUGAAAUGCGUAGAUAUCGGGAGGAACACCAGUGGCGAAGGCGACUACCUGGCCUGUUCUUGACGCUGAGGCGCGAAAGCUGGGGGAGCAAACGGG